rnacentral:rRNA from 1 species
AGUCGAGCGAACAGACGAGGAGCUUGCUCCUCUGACGUUAGCGGCGGACGGGUGAGUAACACGUGGAUAACCUACCUAUAAGACUGGGAUAACUUCGGGAAACCGGAGCUAAUACCGGAUAAUAUAUUGAACCGCAUGGUUCAAUAGUGAAAGACGGUUUUGCUGUCACUUAUAGAUGGAUCCGCGCCGCAUUAGCUAGUUGGUAAGGUAACGGCUUACCAAGGCAACGAUGCGUAGCCGACCUGAGAGGGUGAUCGGCCACACUGGAACUGAGACACGGUCCAGACUCCUACGGGAGGCAGCAGUAGGGAAUCUUCCGCAAUGGGCGAAAGCCUGACGGAGCAACGCCGCGUGAGUGAUGAAGGUCUUCGGAUCGUAAAACUCUGUUAUUAGGGAAGAACAAAUGUGUAAGUAACUAUGCACGUCUUGACGGUACCUAAUCAGAAAGCCACGGCUAACUACGUGCCAGCAGCCGCGGUAAUACGUAGGUGGCAAGCGUUAUCCGGAAUUAUUGGGCGUAAAGC